AAUCAACGCUGGCGGCGUGCCUCAGACAUGCAAGUCGAACGCUGCUGUUCGCCUUCGGGUGGACAGCGGAGUGGCGCACGGGUGAGUAACGCUUGGGAAUCUGCCUGUUAGUGGGGGACAACCCGGGGAAACUCGGGCUAAUACCGCAUACGCACUACGGUGGAAAGCCGGGGACCGCAAGGCCUGGCGCUAACAGAUGAGCCCAAGUCGGAUUAGCUAGUUGUAGGUAACGGCCUACCAAGGCGACGAUCCGUAACUGGUCUGAGAGGACGACCAGUCACACCGGAACUGAGACACGGU
rnacentral:rRNA from 1 species